rnacentral:rRNA from 1 species
UACAGAGGUCUCAAGCGUUGUUCGGAUUCAUUGGGCGUAAAGGGUGCGUAGGCGGCGGCGUAAGUCGGGUGUGAAAUCCCAGGGCUCAACCCUGGAACUGCAUUCGAUACUGCGUCGCUGGAGGACUGGAGAGGAGACUGGAAUUCACGGUGUAGCAGUGAAAUGCGUAGAUAUCGUGAGGAAGGCCAGUGGCGAAGGCGGCGCGCUGGACCUCUUCUGACGCUGAGGCGCGAAAGCUAGGGGAGCAAACGGG